GAAUUAAUCACAACGAUCAGGAAGGCCAUUAAUACUCUCAUGGGCAUCAUUUAUUUUAAUUCCAUAUUUGUUCUAAAGCUAUGGAAAAUCCACCAAACCCAAGAUUACCAAGAAAAUAACAGAUGCAUGAACAUGCCAAAAAUGUUUACAAAAUCACAUUUAGCAUUACCAUUCUUCUUUCUGUUUUGGGUCCACCUUUAGAAAGAUUAUGGAUUGCUCAUCAAAUUGGGUUUAUGUGAGAUUUCCAGGAAGAUUACUUUCCAAGAUGCUUGUGUAUGAAACAUCAGAAGUAUUUUCCCUAGUUGCACAAUAGUCGAUACGAACAAUAAUAUUAUUGAAGAUGAACCAUAAAAAUUGAUAAGCAUCAAUGAUAGAAAUCUUACUAGAGAUUAGCUACAAGUGUCUGAAGCUGGGAUGUAAGUUGGCAGGAAGCCUAGCCCUGAGUCUCACUUCUCAUCACACCAGCUGAUGGCCCAAGCUUUGUGUCAGGAAGGAAUGACUGAAGCAUUUUGCUGAGAUUAUUUUCUUUCUUCUGUGCUUUCCAUCAGGUCAAUUAAUUUCAGACUAAGUCUUUUUAUUUCUUUUUAUUUUUGGUGAAUUUCUGAAUUUGCAUAUCAAUUGUUCGCCGCACUUAAAACCUCAAUUUGAGGUCACAUAAAGCCCAAAUUCAUUUAAACAUCGACUCUUUCAGCAACACUUUCUAAAAUCUUCCAAAUGUUUCUUUUGGAAGCUGAAAACAUAAAUGGAUUUGCGGGAAGGCGUCUGACCUUACUGAUCCUUAACCUGAAAGCCUUUCAUUUACUCAACUCAGUUCUUUGAAAGGGUCUUGAGUUCAGAAGUAUUAAGAAAGAAAGAAAGAAAGAAAGAAAGAAAGAAAGAAAGAAAGAAGGAAAAGAAAAGAAGAAAGGAAGGAAGGAAGGAAGGAAGGAAGGAAGGAAGGAAGGAAGGAAGGAAGGAAGAAAGGAACCAGUGAUAGGGUUUUGUUUGGGGAGGAGUCAGCAGAGGCUAAAUACAAUCACAAAGAUGAGAUCUUUGUCCAGUCCCCAGGCAGAUCAAGCCUGAAAUUAGUAGUCCACGAGAUGGCAGUAUUGAGUUGGAUAGAGCCACAUCAUGGGUGUCUGUCCAACUGAAGUGGAGUCUUGAAAAGACUUGCAUACAAUAAAGGAAAGCAUGCUAUUAUGGGCUGCCUUAGGGUCAGACAGAGACCACGUCUUUUUUUUUUUUUUUUUUUUUUAGCAUUUCUUUAACUUGCCCAAGUGUUUGAUAUGAAGUUCUUCAAGUCCUUUCAGUUGCUCUUCAAGGGCUUUCCAGUGCCCCUCCCCCCACUGAACAAUGGUGUGAGGGGUUUUAAUAGAAAGAUUUAUUAAAUUGAUAAGAAUGAUUUACUAUGCAUGUUUUGGUUUCCAAGGAUUUUUUUUUCAAGUGCUACUGUCAGAUUUUGGAAGGAACUCGCUCUAUGAAUAAUCACAAGGAAGUAGGAUAUAAGUCCUUAUAAUCAGGAGGUAAUGUGACCUCUCAAAGGGUGGGAAGAGUUGGUUCCAAAAGAGAAGUUGGUCACAUGAUGUGAGCAUUUGUACAGAGUCAGCUAGUGCAAAAGGACAGCUUGAGUGUCAAAGGAGAGGGAGUUUUCAUGUGUAAGAUAUUGAAGCAUGAAGUGGAACUUCAUGAGGCUCAAAAAUCUCUCCUGAAGUUACUGCCCUUGGGCAGCAAAACUGACUUUCACAGAUGGCAUAGUCAACAUCCUUGUCCCGGAAUGUACUGUUGUGUAACCUCAUGGUAGGAAAUGUUGAUGUGAAAGUGUGAGGUUUUUGACUUUUAUUUUUUUCUCUUCAGUCUGCUUUGUACGAUAUGCAAAAGGGCAGAAAAGCUUCAUAAGUGGUUCCAUCUACUUUGCUUACACAUAAAAUUUGCUCUCUGGCCCAGAAAACCACACUGUGCAUUAUGUUGGCUAACAUUCUGAUGACAUUGUAAAGCAUAUGAACUUAGCAUUUUAGAAAUGGCCAAAAAAUUAAAAAAAAAACAAAUCAAUGCAUUUCAGUGGGGCUGGGAUCUGGAUUGUAGAAUUCAGUGCUGACAAUUCACCUUGGAUAUGAAGGUGACCAAUCAUCCAAAGUAUCAACAGACAUUUGUAGAGGGAAAAACAAACAAAUAAAACCAAAAACAAACAAAAAACAAAAAGCCAAAAAGCUGCAUAAGGAUCAGGAAAGAAGAAGAAAAAGACAGAGAAAGAAGAGAAGAAAGUUGAGUAGAGGAAAGAUAUGAAGAUGCAGGGACCCUGAUGGCUAAGCUUUUAAAUUAUUACUCAGGCCCUGGAGUUGUGCACAGUUCUCAUUAAAUUCAAUAGUAAUAAUUGGACUAAAUCCCUUCUUAAAAAUAGCAGGAAACAAUAUUCUGAACUUAAAACAAAUUUAUGGCCUCUGUGAGCAAAUGCCAGCUGUGCUGCUGAAAGGAUCUUGCCUGCAGUUGGGUCAUUAAGCACAGGAUGUGAGCAAGGAUUUAAUUUUCAAGUCGAGGUUCCUAUCUAGUAUGAUCACUGCUUGGUUAUCAGCUGGUCCUAAAGUCCAAGCAAGAGGGAUAUGGAAGCCCACACAAUCAUAAGUCACCAACAUACUGUGAGCUGCUGUGAGGAUGUGGAAAGACCCUCAGAGGGUCAAAGUCCUUUGUAAAGAGAACUGCAUUAAACAGAGGGGUCUGUCCAAGCAUGAAUACCCUUUUAUGCCUCUAAUGACAGCAACCUAGGCAGUAUAUGGAUAUUGUAUUCCUGCUGAGUUUCUUGUAUUGAUCAGAAUCCUCAAGAUAAAUUUCUCUCCUCUAUGUGUGUGUGUGUGUAUGCACAUGUUCAUGUAUGUGUGUAUAUCUAUGUGUAAGUCAGAGGUCAAUUUCAAAUGUUAUUCUUCAGGCACCAUCCAUCUUGUGUUUUGUGAUUGGCUCUCACUGGGGCCUGGAACUUGCCAUGUAGGCCAAGCCUGCUAGUCAGUGAGCCAUGGCGAUCUGCCUGUCUCUAUCUCUGAGCAUGCUCCAUAUACUCUGCUUUUGUGUGGAUUCUGAUGAUGGAACUCAGGAAUUCAUGCUUGCACAGCAGGGGUAAGUGCUUGCAUACACUUACUGAGAUACCCACUCAGUUCUUAAAACAGAAUCUUAAGAUUUUGCUUAGUUUGUAACUGCUCAGGUAAACAGAAUUUUGAUGAAGACAUAGGGUCUGUCUGAGGCCAUCUGUGAAGUGUGAGAGGCCUGUAAUGCAUCAAGUUUUAGGUGUGGUCAGCCUCACCUUGAGCUAGACCUCUGUCUGGAAGCACAUUCCAUCUCUGUGAGGCCCAUGCAGUGACCUAACCAGAAGGUUGCAGUGAACAGAUAGCUUUUAAAGGUCAACAGUUCAUGACCCUCCAGUGAGGAGCUGAAGACCAGAUUUAUAACUCAGACAAUGGAAUAAACAGGAAACCAUAUAGACAUUGUCUAUCUCUAUGAUCAGCCAGGCUGUUAGAACCAGUCUUUGUCUAGAUGGUGGUAGUAACAAAUCUUAUGGAUUCAUGCGCUGUACACCUGCCCUCUGACUUUGGUGAAUGCUAAGAUUGGGCUGACAGCCCCUUGUUUAUAAGACCUUCACAAGCAUGACCAAGAGGUCCUGUUGAAAGCAAAUGUGUUAUCAAAACCUCUCCUGGUGUGGUCACCAUGACUCUCACUUUCAUGCUUUUUGAAGAUAGCCAUGCUCGUUUAAUAGAGGAGAUGAGAGACUAACGAAGCAGUAGAGAGACUACUUCAGGGUGCUUCUAAUCACUUCUGGCAAGAAAAGAAACUAGAUGAGCAACUAAAAUGUACAUGGCGUCAUCACAACUUCAUAUACUCCCUUCAUCCUCUUCUGAUAGAGGGCCAAAGACAGUAUAUUGAGAGUCAUAGUCCUACAGCUUCACCCCCACAGAGAAGCCCCAUUUGCAGACCAGGGCCGUCCUCCUGGUAACAGACAGGGAAGAGUAAAAUAUCUGCAGACAGACACUGUGACUAAAGUCAAAUUACAACAGGUAUGAGCAGGAACACAGCAUUUGGGGGAUUUCCUUUGCCUAACGUCUGAGGGGUUUGGGAUGCGGGAGCAAGCGUUUUGUCAGCUGAACUCCUGAAAACUGGGGGAAAGUUCCAAAGAAGUUUGUCUUACAGUUUAAUUAGGUCAAUGGUAACAGUGGCCUUUAAGGAAGCAUGCUAAUUAGGGAAGUCCUUUCUAGUCCUCUGUGAGGCAGUCAGUGUGGAGGAAACACCGAUACACACCACACGGUCCAUUAAUAAAUGACUGCAGAGGCCAAGGCUGAGUGAACUUCAAUAAAGGAAAUGGAAGAAUCUGGGAAGCUGACCCUCUCACCUUCCUCUAAUGAUUAACUCUAAAGUAUUUAAAAAAAAAAAAAAAACCUCUGGUUGCUUAUACAACUGCUUCCCUUCAUGUGAGUCUGUGGGGAAGAAUGUCACAGAAUACUAACAGAAAACAAAAGAGGGCAGCCUUUGAUAACCCGCACGCACGGUUGGGCGGACAGAGUCCUUGGGUUUUCCUCUGAGCUAAAGGAUAAGGGGGAUGCUCCCAGGGUGUUUCUCAGCCCGGGCACAGUGUAAACCUUGGUUUCCUGAGCCAGUCUUGUGGUAAGUGCUGUUGUAAAACUGCCAACUCUGUGGCAGGCACAACAGACAAACUUUGCGCUUCUUGAUUUUGCAGAAUGGUGAUGAAAAUAAAUAGUUAGGCUGUGGCUUGUGAGAUUUCUUUCCUUCUUCUAGUUUGCAAACACAGGCCACAUCAGAGCUGUGCUGUAAUUAAACAAAGUAUGUCUCUCAAUUCCCUGGGGGGAGGGGGGUAGCUGGGACAUGUCAUUCAGCAAUGACUGAUGAGGAAGGGAACCCUGUUCAUUGGGGCUUACUGGGUACCAAAAGCAUGUGGCUUUUACAGCUUUGCUGUUCUCCUAGGCCUUUAGAGCAACUGAAGCCAGGAAGCUCAGUGAUGCUAUUUUGGCAACCCAGAGAAGAACCUGAAGGUGGAAAAGCUGGUGUAAGGUUACCUAUUUAUAUACAAAUCUAAGGCAGAUGGGAAUUCCAGUGCAUCAAGCAACAAAUGGUACAAUAACCAGCUCAAAUCACUCAGUACCUCAUUCCCAGUGUCUUUUGUGGUAUACAGAUCAGCAUCCUAAUAGCACCUCUAUCUGGGAAGAGGCCCAAGGGAUCCAUCUGCCUCCGCCUCCUCGACUGCUAGGACUACAAGUGCAUACCACCACAACUGACUUUUUCAUGUGGGUUGAUCAAAUUUAGGUCCUCAUGCUUGCAAGGUAAGAACACCAAGUUCCAAGAAAAGUCUGUACUCAGGAAUCAUGUUGAUAUUCACUGAUGUGCCUACAAUUUGAAUCAAACUGGCAACAAGAUAGAGUGGCCAACUCAGCCAUGCCAAGCAGAGUGGGAACACAUCCAAUGGGCUCAGCGUCCUAACACAGCAGAAUAUGGAGAUCCAGUCCUCUCCGUUGGAGCUGAUGUCUACUCUAUGUGUCCUGGAAAGCUGUUUCCUUCUAUCUGUUGUAUGAGCUGGAUUUUACAGAGGAAAAAAAGAAAAGAAAGGAAAAGAAAAGAAAAGAAAAGAAAAGAAAAGAAAAGAAAAAGUCUUUUUAAAAAAAGGAUACACAAACAUAGUAUCUUUUGAGGACUCAGAGAGGAAUUACCUAACACACCUGGUUUGCAUCCACCAGCCAUGUCAACAGAAGAGGGGAACACAAGUUUCUUCAAAAAAGAAUAAACAAACAAACAACUGGGUUGGAGCAAAUCCCCAUCCCUACUCAGCUUCAGGAUCCUGUGACUUGACAGCCCAAUUUUCAGAAAACAUUCUUUCAAUUAACCCUGCAGUGGCUAGGCGCUCAGGGCUGCUGCAGAAUGUAGCUUUGGUAGCCUGCAUGGACGGCUACCUCCUCUGGACUGUCAGGAGCAGCUUUAUCCUGGCAGCCCUGGGAGGACUUAAAACACAGAGGUACAGGAAAAUCAGUACUUUGAAGGGAGGGUGAAGUUCCUUAGUCCUAGGACCCUGCUUCCCCCGGGAGGGUCUCACAACGUGACUGACUUUCCUUGGUCUAAAACAUAUGAGCCGAUGCUUCUAAGCUUUCAUCUGAAGCUUGCUAUGCAGAAUUUGUGUCCACAGAGAUCUACUUCCUCCUGCCUCUCAGCUUGACUGCAACUUUCUAUUUAGUCAAAUCUCACCCUGAACUUCUGAUCUCCCUGCUUCUACCUAACUAGCGCUGGGCUUAUAGGCAUGCAGUACCACACCCUGGGUUUGUUAUGGAUGGAAUCGAGGGCUCUGUGCAUGCUAAGCAAACAUUCUACCAAAUAAACUGUGUCCCACCCCCCCACAGAACAAAAUUUUAAUAGGAAUUAAUACUAUAGAUUAACAAUGGUGGCCAUUUCAACUUUCAAUUUAACAAAUAAAUGUUUACUCAACACAUUUAAAACAAUUCCAAUGCCUAUCUUGAUAGCUGGCAUUAGUAAUUCUUUUCAGAAGGGAAGCAGGAAGCUUCUAGUGAAUACUCCAUUCUUCUUAUCCCCUAUGGGCACAGGUUUCCAAAAGCAAGACUGCCAAUGCUUGUAAUAUUUGGCAAGUAAAACAAAAGAUAGCAAAUUGAACUGAAUUUCAGAUGAAGAGAGAAAAAAAUGAUACUAACUCAGACACAGAGACUUCAAGAGUUUCAAAAUGCUCUCAGAACACCAAGGCUUUACUGACCAUCCACUGAGUUAAUCAGGGUUAUGCACGUCCACUUGCAAGCUGAAUGGUCCUUAGAAUCUGGACAUCCAAGGGAUAGAAGCAUGGCUCUGCUCUCCAUGUCACACAAGAGGCUCUUCAGUCUGGGAAUGAUUAAACUCUCAAGUGUCCAAUUGCAGCUUGAGUUGAUUUGAAAUAAUCUUAGAAUUCUAUUCCCUGGAUAUGCUUUCAGAUAGACAGACAGAUGCAGUGUCUCUCCGUAGCCUGGCUUCAUCGUGUAGCCAAGACUAAUCUUGAGCUUUUGAUUCUUUUGCUUCUACCUUCCCAGUGCUGAGACUAUAAGCAUGUGCCUGUACCUGUACCUGUUUUAUGGGGUUCUGGGGACGGAACCCAGGGCUUUCUGGAUACUAGACAAAACUGUUCCAGUCAGACAUGUCCCCAGCCCCGAUAUUUAUAAAGUUCUAAGGGAGAGCUAGUUACUAGGCAGAAAAGAAAUGGUCACUCAGAAGAUUACCAGGUACUAGGGAAUCAGAUGACUUUGAAGAAGGAGCCUGGGGCAAAGACAAGCAAUUCCUCAGUAGGAAAAUGUCCUUAGAACACAAGCACGAAUCACAUGAGAAGGAAAUGGUAUUUUCUUUCUCAACAGCGAUGAAACAUACCAGCUACUUCCUCUGUAAUUGCAUAGAGUUUCCUGCUGGGUGUAAAUUCUGUGGCUCCUCUUAUUUACCACACUGGGAUAUUUGAAAUUCUGUUUCAUUUUUCUUCCUAACAUUACUGCCACUGGUUUUACUUAAGAUGGAUGACAACCUCACAGAAUCUAGGCCUAGACCACUGAGACCAAGAGAGGAUGCUAUCUAGAUCUCUGAUAAUCACGGUCUCCCUCAAGCUGUGGACUCAGCAUUAAUGCUGGGCAUAUCUGCCCACCAGCUCUUUCUCUCCAAGUGCCUAGGGGAAUUCUGCUAAUUAUGACAAUGGCCCCAAUCUGCUUUCAUGUGUAUUAUUUAAUUACAUCAAAAUACUUAUAACUUAAUUAGAAUAAUUGUAGUUUCUAACAGAAGAUAUUUUGAUUGCAUAUCUUGACAUGUAAAAAUUCUCGUGUCAUAAAAGAAAAUAAAAACAACUCUGUCUCUCCCUCUCUUUCUGCCUCCCUCCCUACACUUCGUCCUUUCUUUCCCCCCUUCCUUCCCUUCUAUUCUCCUCUCCUCCUUCUAAACAGGAGUGACCAUUCCCUCUUCUCAGCCUGGUGGAUAAGCCGGGCAAUUCUCUCUGGUAAACUCAUCACACAGCUCAUUGUGUUGGUCAUUGUGUUCUCCUUUUAGUUUCAUUUAGUCAUUCAUGAUUUUUCUAGGAAAAACUAUUUCUCUUUCUGUAUAGUUAAUAAAUUCCUAGUGAAGAUUUCAUAAACAGUAGUAGAUUCAAGAAGGAACAACAUUUCUAUAAGAUAUCACUAAUGGGACAACACAUUCCACUCUUUCAGAGUAUUUUUCCUAUGGAAAAAAAUAUAUAUUUGUAGUUAUAAGGUAAUCCAAUCCUGUCAUUUCCUUCUGUUUUAUGGAUAUAUCUCCUAGACAAUAUCUUCCUUCCUUCCUUCUUUCCUUCCUUCUUUCCUUCCUUCCUUCCUUCCUUCCUUCCUUCCUUCCUUCCUUUCUUUCUUUCUUUCUUUCUUUCUUUCUUUCUUUCUUUCUUUCUUUCUUUCUUUCUUUCUUUCUUUCUCUCUCCCUUCCUUCCUUCCUUCCUUCCUUCCUUCCUUCCUUCCUUCCUUCCUUCCUUCCUUCCUCUCUCUCUCUCUCUCUCUCUCUCUCUCUCUCUCUCUCUCUCUCUCACACACACACACACACACAGGUUCUGUGAAGUUUAGGCUGAUCUAGAACCCACUACUUAGCCAAAACUGGUCUGGAACUCUCAGGCUUCUCUUGCCUUAGCCUUCUGAGUGCUGAGAUGACAAGUAUGUGCCACCACACCUAACCUCAUCACCAUUUUAAGGGUAUCACCCCAUACUGAUGGAUUUAUGUCCUGCUACUUUUGAGCCCUCCGGUAUUGGACUUAAUGUAAUAAUCAUUGACUCUAGAGAGGUGUGUUCAGUAGAUUUGGACAGAUAGCAAAUCUGUGGCAACUUCAAAUGUGUGACCUUAGGAAGGGCUGACAUACACAGUAUGAAACAGGAAAGAAAAGAUGCAACGUUAAACAUUGGGAAGGGUGGGGGAGGGGAGACAUUUCACAGCUGACUGUGAUGUCCAAGUGUGUAGCAAAGAUUCUAUAGUAGGAUUCUGCAAGUAGACAGGAAGAGGAAGGGAGUGGGGCACACAGGAAGAGCAGAAUUGACCAUGAAGAUCUGUAAAGAUGAAACAGUCAGCACCAAGUAGCCAGCUAUGCUUCUCACACUAGCAGACACUGUUGGUCUUAAAUGCGUGGACUCUGAAGGACACUAAUUGGAAGGCAGUGGUCAGCAGCUGUGGAGAUAAUGUAGAAUCUCCAGAUCCAUCCUCGUCCAUGUCCGGACUUUGCUUUGCUUUCACCCACCUUCUAUUCCAGGCCACAAGAAUGGUACACUUAAGACAAACAGCAGGAAUAGUAGAGAAGCCAGCACUGUUCAGGGAAGUUCUCCACAGUGCACCCCCGCUGUGUUCUGGAGGGUUCCUUUCCUGCAUGUUGCUCUCUUUCCCCACAGAUAUUUAGGCUCACAGGUACUACGAUCAGGUAAUAUGCUUCCCAAACCCAGGCAACUUCUCUUCUCUCACUGUCUCCUGAUUAUUUGAGAGUCCUUACUUUCUGAGUUUGUAGAAUAUCCUUAACUUUCGGAGUUUUAGAGUAUAUCUUUACUUUCUAGCUGUCAUAUUCUUGCCUGGAAGAUGGAUGUGUUUUCAGGUCUGAAUUUGGAGGAAUUCUGUGAUGAGGGAUGGUGGGGAGGGAUAUGGAGUGGGGGUAGGCACAUGUGCCAUUGAACAUCAAAUGGUUUUCUCAGCUCGUUGAGCACUUCCCACUGGGGGUAUGACACACAUCAACAUCUGGAAAGUAUCCAGUGGUAUGUACACUAUCUUCAGAAGUUCAUCAGACUUUGGAGUUCUAGUGGCUGCUUCCUGAGCCAGUUUUCACAGCUCAGUGGACAUAAGUGACUCAAUAAGACACUGUUUCCAACAUUGAUAUAAAAUUCAAAGAGUCUAGAUUCUCUCACCAUAUCUUAUUUUUGAACAAAGAGCUAUCAGGCAGAAACAAAGAAAUCACCAGCUUUUCCUUGUAGGUGUGAGAUAGGGAGCAGCGUUGGUCCUACUGCUGGGGACCCUGGAAGGCAGGGGUCCCCUGACUCCUUCCUUGCUCUUUCUGUUCAGGUAUCUACAAGAAUAAACACUUUACGGCCAAAGGCAUUGUCUUCACAAUAACAGGAAACACAUUCCCCAGAUACAGAGAGGCAAGGAAAGGCCCACAUUUUACUGAGGAUCACUGGAGGACGAAGCAGCAUUUCUCAGCAUUGUAUAGUAAAUCACACAGCUCGUAGCCUUUGAGCCAUGAAAUGCUUGCCGCUGCUUGCCAUGACUGCGCACAACCGGCCAUUGGUAAUGUAAUGUGGAAAACCUCAUUUCCAAAAUGAAAAUCUGCCUUGCUCAAUAAAAUACGGCCCCGUGAGUGAGCAUUGGCAAGGGAGCAUUUAUCAGCUUUUAAUGCUCCCCUGGCAGGCCAGCACAACAGCCUGAGAAAAUAAAGGACAAAGAACUGAGGUCUGAUUAAAAACCGGAAAGUCUGCUUGUGAGGGGAAGACAUGGCAGGUUUUCUUCAGAACAUCUCUGAUGACUCAAGGCUGUUUAAUUCAUCAGUUGAUACUAAAGCUAAAGAAAAUAUUUUUAAGUAAUUGUCUCAUUUCCUUAGAUAAAACACAUGUUUUCUGACCUAGCCAGGCAUGUAGACCUCAGCUAUUCUAGGCUGAGUGGGCUGAUUCACAGCAUCUGACCAUUGUCUGCUUGAAACUCAGGAUCUCUGGCUUUUUAUAGAUGCUAAUCAGAACACAACCACCUAAGGUUAAUAACAUAAUCCUCUGAUGGUUAAUAACAUAAUUCUUUAUCUAUAUUAUUUUGUCACGAUUAUUGUCUUAUUUAGAAAAAUGCUGAUAACUAAAAUUGUUCUUUUUAAUAGAAAAUCUGCAAUGCAGCCUCUGUGUUUAGGGUAUUUAAUUUAAGGGUAAAACUUAAAUGUGUUACCUCCUUCAAACCACCUAUCAAACAAGGAAAAUUUUAUGGAUAAAUAAACUGAGAAACAAACUGUCAUAUUCCCUGGUCCAGAGUCACCCUGUGUGGCUCAAGGCACCCCAUGCUGGUCUUCAAGUUCGGUGGCAGCAAAAAUAUAAUCCAACAGCUUUUUUUUUUUUUGGAAAUUAAAUAUUUUGUGCAGUUAUGGGAAAUAUGAGGCCAUCUGUGACUACCUUGUUGAUUACUUUAAACUGCACACAAGGCUACUGGAAGAGUUUACUUUGAAUAUUAUUAUAUGGUGGAAGAAUAAGCUGAUAGUUAUGGAUUUUUUUUUAAAGUUCAAGACAAAGAUCCAACAUUCUCUGGUAAUCUUAGACACGUGAAUGAAUCCUUCUGACCAUAGUUAAGAGAAAACCAAGUUCCGGUUGCAGCUGGAUCUGAUUCCUUGACACUCUUCUAGUGUUAACCCACAAACCAGUAGAACCAACUUAAAAACAAAAAUUUAAUUGUGAGUUAGUCCUUGACUAGUAAGCAGUUCCACUUGGUUCUUUGUCAGGGUUCAUGAGAAAGAGGCAAAAGGAAUAGCAAAAUCUUACCCAGUUGCCUACCAGAAAUUAAUAUUGCUCCUCUGUCUUUUAUCUUUUGGCAGACUUUACUUAGAGAACAAGGGUGUCUUCAGACUCCAACACACACACACACACACACACACACACACACACACACACACGCACGCGCGCAUACACAUGCACACACACAGACACCAUACAAUCAAACAUAUGAAUUCACACACACAGACAUAGAUAUCACACAUACCCCACACAUAGGUAUGUAGACACACGCAUAGACACACACACCACAUAAUGAAGCAUGCACCAUACACACAGACACAUAGUCAGACAUACCACACAUAGGUACACACAAAUACCACACUACACAUAUCUGAUACAUCAGAGAAAGAGAGAGAGAGAGAGAGAGAUCACACAUGCAUACAUGCACACAUACACACCAGAGAUCUAUACACAAUUCAUAUCUUUCUCCAAGCUAUAUAUACUACACACAUAGAGAUAAUCCAUAUAUACUCAUCCACACAUACCACAUACACAUACCACAUUACACAUUAAGAAACACACCAGACACAUACCACACAUAGCCACACCACACCAUACCACACACAUACCCUACACACACACACACACACGAGAGAGAGAGAGAGAGAGAGAGAGAGAGAGAGAGAGAGAGAGAGAAAUACUACAUACAUACAUACAUACAUACACACAUACAUACAUACAUAUAUACAUACAUAUACCACAGAGACAAGCAUAUACUACAUAAAUACAUCACUAACACAUCACAUGGACCCCACACUCCUUUGUGGACCUUUGUAAAACGCAGGAAUCUAGACAUGAAGCAGAUGAUAGUUACAGAGACAAGGAAUCCUCACUGUGGUUUAACUCCAAGCUUAGCAUCACUGUAUGGCUGAAUUGUUUUCUCUGCCUCUGGGACACCAGGCAUUCCCAUGAAGGAGAGAUGCUCUCCCGAGAUUCCACUUUUGAGCCAGCAACACUCCUCUAUCUUGCAUGAAGCUUUAUGUCUACACUAGAAACAAAGCACUUUGAGAAAACAUUACACUGAUUGUGUGCAGCUUUGCUGUUCAGAUGCCACAUUGGGUCCUCAAACCUUAAGGACAGGUAAGUGAGUGUGAACAGAAGCUUGAACCUGUGCAGGGCAUCCUACCCUGGAGGAAAGGCAGUGACUGGCAAUUAUUCAUUUACAAUGCAAGUAAGUGUUUGGUGUGUCUAUACAUUCAUUGUGAGGGUUAAGAGAAAAGUUACAAGAUUUCUGUCCUGCAGUAAGAGAGGGAAAAAAGGCAAGUAAACAAACAAAAACAUUUUCAGUACAGAGUGUACAGGCUGCACUGAACUGCUCAGCAGAUUCUGGGCUUAGGAAAAUCAGGGGGUUAUGGUAGGCAUGUCGUGGCCAAAGGCAGAGACCUAGGAAGUGGUUGUGUAACUUUGACAAGAAAGAAUGACCUGGCUAAGAUUCCAAUUCAAGCUUUUGUUUCUUCCUCUCUUCAAGAGACAAUAUUCAGUUAUGCCUCAUGUUAUUAUGGGGACUAUUUGAGGACAUAUCAUGCACACCCCUACACCAGGGCCAUUAGAUUGUGAGUACAUUUUUCCUUAGUAGUUUUGUAGUUGGUGUAUAUGUAUAUGCACAUGUGUGUGUGUAAAUUAUAAUUUCAGAGGAGUGAGUCUUCUGAAGUUUUAUUCACUAUUCCUAAACACCCCUAAUCCUUAGCAGAUGGCAUCAGUGUUCCCUGCGAUUAAAUUCAAUGCUGUUCUAAGUCCAGCAUGGUUGGCAAGAUCUAAAACCCCUUUCUUCCAAACCAAAGACAACUGCAUGAUAUUAAAGUCAAGAAGAAAGUGUCUAGGCCACGAACAGUAAGGUGGAAUGCAAUUACUCUUAUCCGCAUAUUUUGCACUACGCAUAUUAUAACUCUCCACAAGCUUUCCGGUCCUUUAGAAAGGCUGUUACUUAAAGCUUGAGUGCCAUUGAAUCUUCCUGGUUGGGUUAUGGAGUGGUCCUUGUUAUUCAUUUCUCAAAUGUCCUCUCAGGAACUUAGUGUCUCUUCUGGAAGUUGGCUAAAUGGGCAGCAGUGAUGCAAUAGCUCUUCUACUGUAUCUACAGAAUCUCAAAGACUUGGUCCUGGCCACUCACAUUCCUGUUAAGGAGCAAAGACAAGCCUGGCAGCCUAGGGUGUUUAUGUGUGAGCAGUUCUUCAUACCUUUCUUGUACUUUGGCAAAAGUAACAUCAAAGUCUAUGCACCACCAAAAGUCAUAAGGCUUACCUAAUUUUCAAUCUGUGUCAUUGUAGGGCUACAGAAAGUAGGCAGACUCCAGGCAGAAACAGAGCUAAGCUGGUUCCAAGGCAUAUCAAAGAACACAGACACAGACACACAGACACACAGACACACACACACACACACACACACACACACACACCCAAACACACACACACACACACACACCCAAACACACACAGACACACACACCCAAACACAUACAGACACACAUACACAGACACAGACACACACACACACACACACACACACACACACACAAACACACACACCCCUUCCUAGUUUCUUGGAAGCUUAAAAAGAUUUCAAACUAAACCAAUCAAGAAAAUAUUAAGUAGAGAGAAGGAAUCUUUCUGUUUAAAAUGCUGUUCUGGGGCUAGGGGGUGGCUCCGUCAGUGAAGUGCUUAAAGACAUGAGUUUGACUGCCAAAGCCCGCAGAAAGCUGUUGCAAUUGGUACACACAUUACCUCAGCACAGGGAAGGAUCUCUGUAGCUCACUGGUCAGCCUGUUUAACCUAUCUGGUGAGUUCUAGGUUUGUGAGACACUGUCUCAAACACAAGGUGAGUAGCUGCUGAGGAAUGGCACCUGAGUUUAUCAUUUGGCCUCUACACGUAUGCACACAUACCUGUCUAUGCACAGAUGUACCACCCUUUCCCCCCAAUACAAUGUAGUUGUUCUA